GCUCCGGAGCUGACCCUGGAUGACUGACUACUGACCCUGGACCCUCCCCAGAAAUGCUCUCUUGGACUUGGGGGGCCUGGCAACCUCGCACACCCUUGCACAAAAGGCUGCGCCCCCACUCCGUGUUGAACCUACACAUAAGGAGUCCAGUGCUGGGCACAGGUUGGCCCUGGCACAUGGUUGCUGACUGAGUGUCCGGAUGAAUUGAACCCUCUCCUUGGACCCUUUGUGGGAAGGGCUAGGCGGGAGACCUCAUCUCAACCCCGGUCUCUGGGGAAGAUCAAUCCCAAGGAACCACUUACAGUCUGGGGAGUCGGAUCCAUUAACACGUGCCAAGUGCCCAGGGGCUCAGGGAGG